rnacentral:rRNA from 1 species
UACGUAGGGUGCAAGCGUUGUCCGGAAUUAUUGGGCGUAAAGAGCUCGUAGGCGGUUUGUUGCGUCGGCUGUGAAAUCCCGAGGCUCAACCUCGGGUCUGCAGUCGAUACGGGCUGGCUUGAGUGCGGUAGGGGAGACUGGAAUUCCUGGUGUAGCGGUGAAAUGCGCAGAUAUCAGGAGGAACACCGGUGGCGAAGGCGGUUCUCUGGGCAUGUCCUGACGCUGAGGAGCGAAAGUGUGGGGAGCGAACAGG